AACGAACGCUGGCGGCAUGCCUAACACAUGCAAGUCGAACGAGAUCUUCGGGUCUAGUGGCGCACGGGUGCGUAACGCGUGGGAAUCUGCCCUUUGGUUCGGAAUAACAGUUGGAAACGACUGCUAAUACCGGAUGAUGACGAAAGUCCAAAGAUUUAUCGCCAGAGGAUGAGCCCGCGUAGGAUUAGCUAGUUGGUGUGGUAAGGGCGCACCAAGGCGACGAUCCUUAGCUGGUCUGAGAGGAUGAUCAGCCACACUGGGACUGAGACACGGGCCAGACUCCUACGGGAGGCAGCAGUGGGGAGUAGUGGACAAUGGGCGAAAGCCUGCUCCAGCAAUGCCGCGUGAGUGAUGAAGGCCUUAGGGUUGUAAAGCUCUUUUACCCGGGAUGAUAAUGACAGUACCGGGAGAAUAAGCUCCGGCUAACUCCGUGCCAGCAGCCGCCGUAA
rnacentral:rRNA from 1 species